GAUGAACGCUAGCGGCAGGCCUAAUACAUGCAAGUCAAGGGGUCGUAGCAAUACGGCACCGGCGAACGGGUGCGUAACGCGUACGCAAUAUACCUCUAAGAGGGGGAUAGCUUCUGGAAACGGGAGGUAAUACCCCAUAGUAUUAUUUGGAGCAUUACUGGAUAAUUAAAACUCAGGUGCUUAGAGAUUGGCGUGCGUCCUAUUAGAUAGUUGGUGAGGUAACGGCUCACCAAGUCGAUGAUAGGUAGGGGCGUGAGAGCGUGGUCCCCCCACACGGGACACUGAGAUACGGGGUCCGACUCCUACGGGAGGCAGCAGUUAAGGAAUAUUGGUCAAUGGACGGAAGUCUGAACCAGCCAUGCCGCGUGAAGGAUGAAGGUGCUACGCAUUGUAAACUCUUUGGACGGAGAAGAAACCCCUGCCUGC
rnacentral:rRNA from 1 species